rnacentral:rRNA from 1 species
UACAGAGGUGGCAAGCGUUGUUCGGAAUUACUGGGCGUAAAGGGCGCGUAGGCGGUCCUGUAAGUCUUGUGUGAAAUCCCUCGGCUUAACUGAGGAACUGCACGAGAUACUGCGAGACUUGAGUUCGGGAGAGGAAAGCGGAAUCCCGGGUGUAGCGGUGAAAUGCGUAGAUAUCCGGAGGAACACCGGUGGCGAAGGCGGCUUUCUGGACCGACACUGACGCUGAGGCGCGAAAGCGUGGGGAGCAAACAGG